AUUGAACGCUGGCGGCAUGCCUUACACAUGCAAGUCGAACGGCAGCGGGCCUUCGGGUGCCGGCGAGUGGCGAACGGGUGAGUAAUGCAUCGGAACGUGCCAUUGAGUGGGGGAUAACGUAGCGAAAGUUACGCUAAUACCGCAUAUUCUGUGAGCAGGAAAGCAGGGGACCGCAAGGCCUUGCGCUCUUUGAGUGGCCGAUGUCAGAUUAGCUAGUUGGUGAGGUAAAGGCUUUACCAAGGCGACGAUCUGUAGCGGGUCUGAGAGGAUGAUCCGCCACACUGGGACUGAGACACGGCCCAGACUCCUACGGGAGGCAGCAGU
rnacentral:rRNA from 1 species